AAGCCCCGCCCCCCGCGCGUUGCCGGGAGACGGCGCCCAACCUUCCUCUGCAGCGCCCCUACCGACCCGCGCUCCGCAGCUCCUGAGGGCUUUCGAGCCCAGAUGGUCAUCUGAGACGAGAGGUGGCGGCGAAGGAGAGUCUCGCCUGUCACGCUCCCGGAGCAGGGGCUUCAUGAGGUGGCCAUGGAAACAGCCUGGCAGACUCCCAUCUCUCCUGGUGCCAUCUCCGGAGCGGAAAGUGGAGCGCCCCGCUGGCGACCAAGGCCGCACUGAGAGCCCUGGUUUGGUCAACAGUUGGGCUCCAAGAAGUCUCUUCCUUUCACUCUGCUGAGUGAAGCCCUUCCUGCCCUCAGGCUGGACCAUGGCUUCCAUGCUGCCCCUCUUUUCAAGGCUGCUUGUCUACAGUUCUACAGGUUUCUAGGCCCUUGGUGAGUGAAGAGCAGUUCAUUACGAAAUGACCUCCAAGAACAAGGCUCAGCAUUCUCUGAAAUCUCAUGAAGCAGUGUAACCAGCUCUCAAGUAUCUUCCUGUGAACUAGCCACAGGGAGCCCUGGUAUUCCUUGAACAUGCAUACCUUUCCCAGCGUGAGGGACAUGGACCGUGCCGUGCGAGGGACCCCAUCUUCUGCAGCAGGAGGGAGCAGAGAAGAGAACACAGCCACCCUCAUCAGCCAGAGUUCAAACCCUGACAGUGCCCAUGGAGAGAUCUGGUCCAAGGCACCAACCUCUUCCUGCUGGACUGAGAAAGAGCCUCCUACUGUGUCUCUCUUUACCUCAGCUUUUGCACACCUCCAAUAUAUUGUCCACUGAAGUCAGAAUAAUCUAAAAAUAAAGGCUGAUUACCUCAUGUGGUAUAAACU
rnacentral:lncRNA from 1 species